UGCCAUGAUUGUGAGGGGCGGGCGUACGUCCACGGACUUGUGCCCCCAUGACUGUAAAGGCAGAUACCCGCCUUCAAAACCCAGGUUACACCGUUCGCCAGCACUACAGUUAUGAGGGCGGGCACUAGUGCGGAAAAGCCAAGGCUGUGCAGUUACUGGCACGACUGCGAGGGACAGACGCAUUUUCGCUCCACUGCAACGCCAUGAUUAUGAGGGGCGAAUACACUUUCGGAGCGCCGCCUGCUUCGCCGUGAUUGCGAGAGCUCCAGUCAUAUCAUGUCCACCAUUCCCAGCAGAUGAAAUGAACCACAGCUGAAGGGCGGCCCCAGGAAAAGAUUCACGAGGGACAAACAGUGGAGAUGAAAUGCAUGAGACAAGAACAUGGGAUAGUCGUCACCGUGGCAAGUGGAGAAUAUCACACAAAACAAUACUAAUUCCUCAAUGAAUCACCAACUGGCCAGGAUUUAUCAUAAUGUAUAACUCUAAUAUGGUAAAAAAUUGAAAAGGUCUUAAAAUUCCAUAUAACCUCACAAGCAACAGA